rnacentral:rRNA from 1 species
UGCGUAGGCGGCCGCUUAAGUAGGGUGUGAAAUGUCCCGGCUCAACCGGGGAAUGGCGCUCUAAACUGGGUGGCUCGAGUGAGAUAGAGGUGUGCGGAACUUCCGGUGGAGCGGUGAAAUGUGUUGAUAUCGGAGGGAACACCAUUGGCGAAAGCGGCACACUGGGUCUUAACUGACGCUGAGGCACGAAAGCCAGGGGGAGCAAACG